rnacentral:tRNA from 1 species
GGACACAUAGCUCAGCGGUAGAGCAAUCGGCUGUUAACCGAUUGGUCACAGGUUCAAAUCCUGUUGUGUCCGCCA